rnacentral:rRNA from 1 species
UACGGAGGGGGCUAGCGUUGUUCGGAAUUACUGGGCGUAAAGCGCGCGUAGGCGGCUUUGUAAGUUAGAGGUGAAAGCCCAGGGCUCAACCCUGGAAUUGCCUUUAAGACUGCAUCGCUUGAACAUCGGAGAGGUAAGUGGAAUUCCGAGUGUAGAGGUGAAAUUCGUGGAUAUUCGGAAGAACACCAGUGGCGAAGGCGACUUACUGGACGAUUGUUGACGCUGAGGUGCGAAAGCGUGGGGAGCAAACAGG